UACGUAGGGGGCAAGCGUUGUCCGGAUUUAUUGGGCGUAAAGAGCGUGUAGGCGGCUAGGUAGGUCCGUUGUGAAAACUCGAGGCUCAACCUCGAGACGCCGGUGGAAACCAUCUAGCUAGAGUCCGGAAGAGGAGAGUGGAAUUCCUGGUGUAGCGGUGAAAUGCGCAGAUAUCGGGAGGAACACCAAUGGCGAAGGCAGCUCGCUGGGACGGUACUGACGCUGAGACGCGAAAGCGUGGGGAGCAAACAGG
rnacentral:rRNA from 1 species